rnacentral:ncRNA from 1 species
CUUAUUGAUGGACGAACAUCAAAGUACUUUAUAAGUACACACAACAUCUCAAUUGGUUAUGUAAUUAGUGCAUUAUUGUUAAACCCCAUGAAUAAUGCACA